UUCAAUAACGAUUUAUUGCGAAGUUUCCUGACCUUAUAUCAUUGCAUCAAAUCCAUACUGUAACACACUUCCGCACCGGUUUAAAGUGACAGGAGCAUCCAUGUGCCCUCUUCCGGGUUCCUUGCUAGGUUCAAUAUAUACAGGUUAAGGGUGCGUUCGUAAAUUAACUUUAACUAUGUACGAUUUCAGAGCACUCUCGUCUGUGUGCAAGAGCGCUGAAUAACGGAUGCAUUUACAAACGUGCAACACGUUAAAUAUGACCAUUGUCAGUAAACGUCGGCAAAAAAACGUAAUUAAAUUGUUACCAGCAGCACAGUUAUAGUCACCAAACGAUAUGGAUAACAUGAAAACAGCCUAACCAGCUCUGCUAGGGCGAGUAAAAUGGUCAGAGUGAGGUGUUCUCUCAUUUGUGUCUGGGAGCAGCUAGCCAACUAGCCACCAUCAGCCAGUUAGCUGGGUGCUUGACUGCCCUUGAGGUCAGAACGCUCGGAUCAAACCAACUCCUCCGUCAGAGCGUCCAAUGUGGCUCUGAAUUUACGAACACACCACCUAGGUUCCACUUCAUACUCCCCCGUCAGCUCUGGGACGCAAAAUAGUGUUAUGUCUUGAGACAUUUUAUUUUGGAAUGUUGAACAUUUCAAAUUCGCGGAUCAUUCUUCAGUCAACUGACAGAUGAUGCAAGACUCACAAACGACCUGGAGGAUUUACAAACUGUUACAAAAGUAUUUUAAUAUGUAAUUUGCCCGUUAAGGUAUGCGGGAUCAGAAAAAGGAGAAGGGGUCAUGCCAAAUGUCUCAACCUCGGUGAUAGCUCAGCCAUCACCAUCUGAUUAUAUCCAGAUUUUUCAAGACAUGUUGAGUCAAAGCUGAUCUACUCUAACAGCAGCUAUUGUAUUUUCUGUGCAGUUUUAUUUAAUAGAGAAUACAUCUAAAUGUUACAUGAAAAAAGGCCCAAAUAACUGGUGGAUUAGAUUUUUUUGUUUUGUUGAUCAACCUCACGUGCUGCAGAGUAGACUGGAUUUAUCUGAGUGCUAACCUCUAUGCAUGGAUAUGCUGAUGAGGUAAAUUAUGAAUGGAUGCUUGUAUCUGCUUUUUGUUUUUACAUGUGCUUUAAUAGUUGUGUAAUGAACUUGGCCUAUUUCUCCUUUGUCAGGAUAUAAGGACGGAAUACAUGUCAACAACUCCAACAAGACUGGACAUAGAAUACAACUAGGGUCCUAUCUGGUGUCAAACAUUAAGCCCUCAUGGAUGGUAGGGCUUUCUGCUUCAGAUUAAGCAAUAGAAGCUCUGAGAUCCCCAAAACAAGAGAUGACAAUCUGGCUGUAAAGACUUGAAGAUAGUUUGGAGCCCUAUAACACAUUUACCAAGUUAUUUUGUUGCUUCUGCCUCUUAUUUGUCAAUAAAUCUAUAUUA